UUCCCGCUAUCCUGCCACAGGUCGUGUUUCCUUACAGGCACUCCAGCUUCCUCCACCAAUAAAAACUGACAGCCAUGAUAAACCCAAGAGUGCUGAAAGUUGUUUUGUACACCGACAAUCAAUCCAUAUAUCAGGAGAUCCUGUUCUACAGAGAACACAAUAUGUGUGGUGCUUGUUUGCUUUAGUUUCCUAGCAACAAAAACUAGUUAUACCCUACCAAUACCCAAAGGGGUUUAACUCAAUCACUGACAAACCAUAAAAUACAACUGAUUGUAUUGCAUACUCCGAUAAUUCAUGUAAUCUUCGCAGGAAAUAACUAAUUACUUUUAUUCAAUACUUUUGCAUAUAUAUUAGAUCUAAUACACUACAGAACUUUAAUGAUUAAUUAUCUUUUAGUUGAUAACUAAUUCAAUAUCAUCAAUAUUGUAAUCAAAACUUCAUUUUAUUAAAUUUUCACAUCCGCAAUCAUUAAUUUUAUCCACAAACAAUGCUUUGAGGCAGACUUUGUAUUGAAAAUAAUGCAAUAGCCAAUAUUUUUACCUGAACAUCCAGAAAAUUUCAUUUUUCAAUGCUAUAAAAUUCAGACAUAAAUAUCACAACAUCUGAUCAAAAAUAAACAUGCUAUAGUUCAUUCAUGAAUAAAAUAUUGCUUGAAAAUUUAUAAUUUUUGUUUUUAUCUUUUUUAAUUUUUUUUUUUGUCGCAUCUACUUUCCCCUAAACUUUAACUUACAAUUUGUAACCAAACCAAAUGGGGUUUAUUGCCCCUUCCCUACAGUUAUUAAUUACAAAGUGCUCAAAAAUACCAUUGAAAGGUCAUAAUUUAAUUUAAGGAUGUUGCUGCUCUUGUUUUAGACUUUUUGUCAGAUAUUCGGAAUCAUCUGGUUUUAUUUAUGUAGUGUCAUUAAAAAUUUUGCCUGCUAACCCAUACUUUUCUUUUCAUAAUUUUAAUAACAUAUAGUUUAAAAAGCCAUUUUUGAAAAUCUCAUCAAAUCCUUGUUAUUUUUUCAUAGUUUUUUGAAAAAAUGAAAGUGCCAAUGUUAAAUGUAUGAAAAAUCUAGACAAAAUCAUUUCCCACCAAAUUUUCAAUGGAUUAUAUCUCAAAAACAAGGUCACGGAUUUAUAAUUUUUUUUAUACUUUUUUAGUUCCAUUAUUUUGAUACUGAUUUAUAACAGUCUUUUAAAAAGCUGGUUAUUUUAAAAAAGAGUAGCAAACUUCCUUAAGAUGGAGAUUGUACUCUUAACUAUUUGUUUUAAAGUUAAGACUGAAUCUGUUAUGUGUUCUGUAAUUGAUAAAAAAAAUUCCAAUAGAAAAUCUGACAAUUACAGAAACUUUAAUUUGUUCAGUCUAAUAGGAGGGGGGGGGGUCUACUUUCAAACUUCAGAAUGUAGCUAUUUAUGUUGAAGUCUCCUUUAUUCCCUAAAUUAUUUAGUUGGAUAAGCAAGAAGUAAUAUAUUGCAGUAUUUCAGAACAUGGCAAUCUAGUUGACAUAUGAUAAAGACACUUGUAUAUUGUUGAUGUAUUUUCUGGUUUCAUUGUGUUGUUGGAUUACUGACUCGUUGAUGUGUACCUAACACCUCCUUGUUUUAUGUAGUGUUUAUAGACCACUUGGUGGUGUGAACUUUGCAAUGAAAUUGUCAGUUAAUUUUAUAGUUGUCUAGAUGUAAAUGUAGUAGAAAAAAAGUGAUCUUUAUAAUCUGCUCAUAAAACAGCAUGUUAAUAAUUUGGUGCAUCAUUGUAGUCAAUAUUUUCAGAAGCAAGACAACUCUACUUCUGUAUUGAACACUUCUUUGUUGGGGUUUGUGUUGGUCAGUCUUUAGUUUUUUAUGUAAUGUUUGUAGACUGUGGACAGUGGUUUAUCUUUAGUUUUUUAUGUAGUGUUUGUAGACUGUGGACAGUGGUUUAUCUUUAUUUUUUAUGUAAUGUUUGUAGACUGUGGACAGUGGUUUAUCUUUAUUUUUUAUGUAAUGUUUGUAGACUGUGGACAGUGGUUUAUCUUUAUUUUUUAUGUAAUGUUUGUAGACUGUGGACAGUGGUUUAUCUUUAUUUUUUAUGUAAUGUUUGUAGACUGUGGACAGUGGUUUAUCUUUAUUUUUUAUGUAGUGUUUGUAGACUGUGGACAGUGGUUUAUCUUUAGUUUUUUAUGUAGUGUUUGUAGACUGUGGACAGUGGUUUAUCUUUAGUUUUUUAUGUAAUGUUUGUAGACUACAAUUGUUUAUCUUCCUUUUCUUUUCCUGAUUUGUUAAAAAUUUCUGUCAUGACACUUGUAAGUUUUGAUUCUCCCUUUGGAAUCUUCCCCUUUUUUCCUGAUUUGUUUCUGUCAUGACACUUGUAAGUUUCGAUUCUCCCUUUGGAAUCUUCACCUUUUUUCCCCAGAAUAGUUUCAAACAGUUUAUACAGUUCAGGAUUAAAUACAACUAAAUCAGAA